GAUGAACGCUGGCGGCGUGCCUAAUACAUGCAAGUCGAGCGAACAGACGAGGAGCUUGCUCCUCUGACGUUAGCGGCGGACGGGUGGGUAACACGUGGAUAACCUACCUAUAAGACUGGGAUAACUUCGGGAAACCGGAGCUAAUACCGGAUAACAUGUUGAACCGCAUGGUUCAACAGUGAAAGACGGUUUUGCUGUCACUUAUAGAUGGAUCCGCGCCGCAUUAGCUAGUUGGUAAGGUAACGGCUUACCAAGGCAACGAUGCGUAGCCGACCUGAGAGGGUGAUCGGCCACACUGGAACUGAGACACGGUCCAGACUCCUACGGGAGGCAGCAGUAGGGAAUCUUCCGCAAAGGGCGAAAGCCUGACGGAGCAACGCCGCGUGAGUGAAGAAGGUCUUCGGAUCGUAAAACUCUGUUAUUAGGGAAGAACAAAUGUGUAAGUAACUAUGCACGUCUUGACGGUACCUAAUCAGAAAGCCACGGCUAACUACGUG
rnacentral:rRNA from 1 species